GGAAAACUGUAUGGAGGUUCCUCAAAAAAGUAAAAAGAGAACUACCCUACGGCCCAGCAAUCGCAUUGCGAGGAAUGAAUAUCCAAAGCACUCAAGCGGAGAAAAAGAAGGCGGACACAAAGGAUUACAUACUGCAUAUUUAUGUGUCUAACAGACGCUAGACCGAGCCUCUGACAUCUCCUCCCUCGAGGCUUCAGCAGAUAUCACCAUGCCGCAACUCUCUGGUGUGUUUCAAAGGUCUCAUACAACUUAAGAUGUCCAUGGACAGCGUUGGGGAAUCAAUUAGUUUCACAUCUUCAACAACUCUGGCACCCACAGUCGUUGUAAUUGUCUUCUUUCAUGUGGUCAUUGGGUAUGUACACUGUUUUUCAUUUCUUGAGUUUUGUAACCCAUAGAUAUGUCAACGACUUCAAAAUAAAAGUGCCUGUAUUGGC